CAGGUUGAUAGGCUGGGUGUGUAAGGGCAGCGAUGCCUUCAGCUAACCAGUACUAAUAGUCCGUGAGCCUUAUUUU
rnacentral:rRNA from 1 species